rnacentral:misc_RNA from 1 species
AAGUCGUAACAAGGUUUCCGUAGGUGAACGGAAGGAUCAUUAACACUUUAUGACGACCAAGUUAAAUAAGGCCUCUACCACAUAGCAAGUGCGCCGUGGUAGAGGAAAACGUACAACUGUUAACAAUGGAUAUCUUGGUUCUC